rnacentral:rRNA from 1 species
UACAGAGGGGGCAAGCGUUGUUCGGAAUUACUGGGCGUAAAGCGCACGUAGGCGGGUUCUUAAGUCGGUGGUGAAAUCCUGGAGCUCAACUCCAGAACUGCCUCCGAUACUGAGAGCCUCGAGUCCGGGAGAGGUGAGUGGAACUGCGAGUGUAGAGGUGAAAUUCGUAGAUAUUCGCAAGAACACCAGUGGCGAAGGCGGCUCACUGGCCCGGUACUGACGCUGAGGUGCGAAAGCGUGGGGAGCAAACAGG